UGUGGAGGAAAACUCAUUGUGAAAGGAUCUAUCUCCAUAUUGUAAAUACUAAUACAGUCCAGAAGCUACUGCCUCAAGGUUUCUGGAGACUAGGAGUAGGUUUUUCUCUCCUUGGUCACAGAAAUUUAUUCGAGUUCAUGGACAGAUGGAGAAUAUUGCCAAGAGCUUGCUGCCUGACAGUGGGUGGACAUAAAACCGCUUCACCUCUAAAACAGACUUGAUGAGCUGGAACAUGACUUCGAAUGCAGAGAGACACGGUAAAACCCAAGCAAAAUACUAAACAAGCAUCCAAGUGGAACUGACGAGGAGCUGCCAUUGAUGAGGCAUUAAAACCCAGAGCACAUCCACCAGCAUGGGAAAAUGAAUGAAAUGAUGACUGCUCUGAGACAUGGGCUCUGUGAGGGACGCAUUGGCUGUUCUUAAUGUUCUCCCAGGACUCUGUUACAAAGCAACAGCCCCACCUUGGACACAGACUGCUCUGCAUGACUCAAACAAAAUUUCCUCUGCAGGUGGACAGCCUUCUCCUAACAAUGGAUUGGCUGUGCUGUUUCACAGCAAAAACACCAUAAACCAAAGAAUUAAUGUACCUGUCAUAGUCUGGUGGCUGGAACCCCUUGGCGAAGAGGCCCCAGUAAACUGAGAGAAAUGCUGCGUUUAUGUUCAGCGUGGGCCCAAGCUGUGCACUAGUCCAUUCACUGCUCACACUGACUGCCAUUGGAUAGUGUUAUUACAGACCCACUUACUAACUGAAAAUAUUAUAUACUUUUUACUUGGUUUUUUCAAUGGGCUCUUGUUUACUUCUGCUGCUGGGUAUGCAGAGCAAUCGCUGCUGCUUCUAAUUCUCCUUACUUUUAGUCCCCCUUUCUGCUAAGCUGAGUGUAAACCACAAUCUCUCAGAACCUUGCAGUGUAUACUGAGAGGACUUGAGAGCUUGACCUCUCAUGUUACAGAUGAGCACACAGAGGUCCAGAGGCCUGAGCACGUGGCUAGUUGUCCCAGGGACCAAGACCAGAAACCUAGGUGACCUUGGUCUUUGGACCUUUUUACUUAUCCAUUCAACUUCUGGCAAACAUUUAAAUAAGCCAUUUCUUCAAGGACCUGGGAUAGAAAGACUGAGGUACCCAGUAUCAUUGCUGCUGUAAUAGCAAGAAGCCCUGAGAAGGAUCUUCAGAGGCAGAGAGGCCUUUGGAUGCUUUGAAAGAGAGAUUCUCCCCACAGUCCCUGUCUGUCUUCCACGAAACCCAGCUAAAACCAAGCCAGCACAAAUCUCAGAUUCAUUAAAUAAAUUCACCAGAAAACCAAGUCAAAACGACAGAGACCAAGAGAACAGGCACAAGUGCCUUUUUAUUCCUCCUCUGAGCCAAGCUGAAGAGCAGCCCCAGGUGACAGAGUGUGAUACUCAAGGCCAGCCCUCGUCCCCUACUUCAGCACAGCCUGGAUGAAUCACACACCAGAGAACAACAGCGCUAUUUCUUUCAGUCAUCUGUCAAGCUGACAACCCUGCCCAGAGUUAUUUAGGGCUUUCUAAAGACACUUCUUCCCUGACUGCCACAGGAAGCACCUGCAAAACUGCUGAGCUGCGGUUUUGCUCAAUAGCACUUUGAUAGUCCCUGAGGGCAUCAAUUACUCUUCUUUCCUUCCCUGCAUGGACUUUGGUUUUGAUGAUGAAGAAGAAGGAGAUGGUGAAGAUCCCUGGGAUCUGAAGCCAGACGCUUUGUGGAGGUGGGUUUCUCACUGAUUGCUGUGGGGGAUCCUCUGGACAAGGACAGCCCAAGAGUGUAAGGAGAAUAUUCCCAUGAGAGUAGGUCUCCCUCCUGGAGCAGAACUGUACUCUUUGCCAACUCCUCAGAGGAAAAACAGGCCUGUCAGACAAGUGUGUCUGGAGCAAAUCUGGUCUUCUGAUUCAGGUGGAUGACAUAAAAGAGGGGUAACUUGGAAAAGGAUCAGAAGAAAAACACAAAAGUAAUGAGAAGAUCUGGAUGAAUGGACCUCUGAAAGCAGUUAGGGGAAUUAGAGUUGUUGAGUCUAGGGAAGGCAAGGGUGAACUACCAAUCAGCUUUGAGUAUGGAGAGAAUAAUUGUGCAGGGAUUAGUGGUCAUUUCCACUGAAAAUAUCAUGUGAGUUAGAGAUGCUUAAAUUGCUGCCUGAGGAGUCUGCUCAGUGUGUGCUGGUCUGUCUGGGUUAUUGCAAAUUCUUACUCUCAAAGUGGUCAGUCUGCUUCCUUGGAUAUUUGCAUGAAUGAAAAUGACAUCCUUCCAGCUGGAAUGGGUUAGAGAAAGUCACAUGGAUCUCUUCCCUUUGACUCAAACUGCCCAACACCCCAGCUUCACUCUUAUCUGAAGCCUUUUAACUGGUAUUUGGAUAUCCAUCUCUGCCUCCAUGGACCCACUUUGCAUAUUGAGGUCUUGUUUAUCUUUCUUAAAUCAUCUUGGGUUAGCCACUGUCCUGCCCUAAAAACACUGAUGCAUUUGUUAGCUUGCCAUUACUAUAACAGAUCCCUGAGACAAUUAACUUAUAAAGGGACCAGUGACCUAAAGACCACCCACCAGUCCCCAUCUCUUAUGUUUUACUAUCUCCCAAUAGUGCCACCCUGGGGACCAAGCCUUUAACACAUGGGACUUUGGGGACACUCAAGAUCCAAACUAUAGCAAUGCCUAUUCAUUCAUUCAGUCAACAAAAUUUGAGCACCUGUUAUAUUGAGCAUAUAUUGUAUAUCUGCCACUAUACCUCGCCCUGUGCAUACAAAAGGGCACAAAAUACAGCAGGGUUGCAAGUUCACUCAGUCUUUAUGUCCUUGUCCUGGAAUCUUUCGAGGCUCCAUCAUCUUGAUUUAGUGUCUCUUGCGGCACAAAACCUUUUCUUUUACAAGCAGAGUCCAUUCACGGUGACAAAGGAUUUCUUGGCCUUUCUUCUUGCCAUGACUUCUGCAUAGAAUACCUUCAUCCAGAGCCUAUCUCUUCUUUGCAACCAGCACAAGUCCUCUCCCCUUUAGGAGGAGUUGGACCACUUGGGGGUUAGGAUCUACCAGGACCUCAGUCCCCACAGCACUCCCUUACUUAGCACUGAAUAUUUUCUGUCUGAGAGAACAUAUGGGGUAGCUUCUGUCCCUGCCUGGAAACUUGGUGUGGACAAGCCCUGAGAGGGUGUGGUCUCUGAACCUUCUCUCUCUAUCCAAAGCUCUGCUGUGAAUGGUGAGACGGCAGCUCAGGUUUUGGCUGGUGCUUCCCGAACAUUUGCUGCCAUUGAGAAAUGGGAGAGGAUAUUUAAUCCCUGAAUUUAUCGGGAGAAAAAAUUGGGAGAUUUUGUUUUUUGCAAGAUGUGGAAACUGAGGACCAAAACAAGUGACUUAUCCAAAGCCACUCACAAGGUGAGAUUGUAGCAGAGUCAAGUCUAUACACUAUCUGGUUUGUCUCUGCUCUGCAUAGUCCAGCAACUGGAAUACUUAAGAACCAAACACUGCAGGACACAUAUGGAAGAAAUAAGAAGUAUAUUAGUUUCCUGUUGUGGCUAAAACAAAUAACCACAUAUUUACUGGCUUAAACAACACAAAAUUAUUGUCUUUAUAGUCUGUAGGUCAUAAGUCCUUGACCUGAGUCUCACCAGGCUAAAAUCAGAGUGCCAACAGGUCUGCAUACCUUUCUGGAAGUCCAGAGGAAAAUCUGUUUUCCUGCCUUUACUGACUUCUAGAAACUACCAGCAUUCUUCAGCUUAUGACCCUCUUUGUCCAUCUUCAAAGCCAGAAAGUUAGCCUGAGUCCUUCUUGCAUGGUAUCGUUCUGGCUAAUUUCCUCUUCUGCUUCCUUCUUCUAUUUAAGGACCUUGUGAUUACACUGGGGUCACCUGAGUACCCCAGGGUGAUCUCCCUAUUCAAGUCACCUUAAUAGCAAUCUUAAUUUCCCUCUGCAGUGUAACAUAUUUGCAGGCUCCAGGGAUUAGGAUGUAAAUGCUCGGGGGGUGGGGGUGGGGGGUUGGUUGGUGGCUGUUUCUUCCUACCACAAUAGAAAAAAUGAGAAAUAGUUCCCCCCUUUCCUCCCGCCUCUGUGUCUCUCCUCUCUCUCUCUCCUCUCUCCUCUAAUUCUCCAUAAUCUGAUAAAAUUAAUCUGAAAAUGUUCUGGGCCUCUGUAUUCAACUUCACACUUCUCUUAUGAGCCAUGGUCUGAUGAAUUUGGUCAAGACACAAAGGAAAGGAAUUAAAAUGCAAAAAUGCACAAAGAAGGAGGCUCACAAAUGUUGGCUAAAAUAGGAUGAGGACCAAGAGGUGAGUCCGCUAAUCUCUAAGGAUUUGAGAACUGCUGGGCUUUAAGGAUGUGGUCCAAGUUUGCAUAGGAGAAGUUGCUAUGAAAUGUUUAGAUGGAAUCUCCAACUGGAAGGCCUGUUGGUCACUAAAACCAGUUAAUAAUAGGGGGUGAGAAGGGUUCUGGACAAUUCAAGAAAAGAAUCAACACUUCCAUGUUGGGAAGAUCUCACAGAAUCUACAGGACCUUAGGAGUUUUCUAGUCCACCCUCACACCUAAUGUAAAAUCUACCCUCAUCAUUUUUUUUUUUUUUUAAAGCUCUGGCAAGGGGUAGGAAAUCACUUAGAUUCUCUUAGAUAGUCUCAAAUUCUUCAAAUUUAUGAUUGUGAAUUGCAAAUGUUAUCUCUAGUUAACUCUUGGUAUUGGUUGGAAAAUCAAGAUAACUAUCAUUUUUUAAUCUUUUCUCCACCAAGAUGGUGGGAUGUUGGCUAUUAUUCUAUCUUUAUGGGGGAAGAUCUGAUCCCUAGUCCACACAUAGCAUUUAAUCCUCAUUUAUAGGAGGACGAUAAAGACAUGGAGAAAGACCUGAAAAAGGAAUUAUCUGCCAGUAGUUUCAGUGGCUGCUCAUGAGCUUUACUUUUCUCUGAUGUUUUGUGGUGGCUGUUUUUUAUCUGUCUGGCACCCAUCCCCCACUCCUCCCAGCAACAGAGCCUGUUUGUUCCUCAGGCUAGAAAAGGGGGCACCUGACUCAGCAGAAUCAACUGCUCGGCUCACAAGCUUAGCCACAGUUAAUGGGCCAAUCAGCACCAUUCCUCAGGGAUUCUCUAAUCCAGGGGACAUGGAUGGUGGUGACUUACUUUCUGACUCUUCUCAGGUCACCAGCUAUGGGAGGUGAGCUUUGCUGUUGGCUGCAUCCUCACUUCACGGAGGAACGGGUUUGGGAAAAUGGCAGUAGGAGGGAGCAAAAAGGAGAGGAAGUGAGAAUCCUAAGAAUGUU
rnacentral:lncRNA from 1 species